rnacentral:tRNA from 1 species
GGGCUCGUAGCUCAGCCCGGUAGAGCAUCUCCCUUGCAAGGAGGGGGCCGUGGGUUCGAAUCCCACCGAGUCCA